rnacentral:rRNA from 1 species
UACGUAGGGUGCGAGCGUUGUCCGGAAUUACUGGGCGUAAAGAGCUCGUAGGUGGUUUGUCGCGUUGUUCGUGAAAUCUCACGGCUUAACUGUGAGCGUGCGGGCGAUACGGGCAGACUUGAGUACUACAGGGGAGACUGGAAUUCCUGGUGUAGCGGUGAAAUGCGCAGAUAUCAGGAGGAACACCGGUGGCGAAGGCGGGUCUCUGGGUAGUAACUGACGCUGAGGAACGACAGCGUGGGGAGCAAACAGG